GGUCCCGCCUGCCCAGUGAAACUAUUUUAACGGCCGCGGUAUUCUAACCGUGCAAAGGUAGCGUAAUCACUUGUCUUCCAAAUAAAGACUAGUAUGAAUGGCUAAAUGAGGGCCGGCCUGUCUCAUACAACUAAUCAGUGAAACUGAUCUCCCAGUACAAAAGCUGGGAUACACCCAUAAGACGAGAAGACCCUGUGGAGCUUCAAACAUCCGCUAACAAGCAGCCCUUAACUGCAUUAGCAAGAAGUUUUGAGUUGGGGCGACUUCGGAGCAAAACAAAACCUCCGAGCACAGGACCACACACCCUUACCAAGGCUCACAAGCCAAAGUUCAAACAACCGACCCAGCAACGCUGAUCAACGAACCAAGUUACCCCAGGGAUAACAGCGCUAUCUUCUUCAAGAGUCCAUAUCGACAAGAAGGUUUACGACCUCGAUGUUGGAUCAGGACACCCAAAUAGUGCAGCCGCUAUUAACGGUUCGUUUGUUCAACGAUU
rnacentral:rRNA from 1 species